UAAUACGUAGGGUGCGAGCGUUAAUCGGAAUUACUGGGCGUAAAGCGUGCGCAGGCGGGCUUUUAAGCCAGACGUGAAAUCCCCGGGCUUAACCUGGGAAUGGCGUUUGGGACUGGAAGUCUGGAGUGCGGCAGAGGAGACUGGAAUUCCUGGUGUAGCAGUGAAAUGCGUAGAUAUCAGGAGGAACACCGAUGGCGAAGGCAGGUCUCUGGGCUGACACUGACGCUCAUGCACGAAAGCGUGGGGAGCAAACAGGAUUAGAUACCCUGGUAGUCCACGCCCUAAACGAUGUCGACUGGUUGUUGGGGGUUUGACACUCUCAGUAACGAAGCUAACGCGUGAAGUCGACCGCCUGGGGAGUACGGCCGCAAGGUUAAAACUUAAAGGAAUUGACGG
rnacentral:rRNA from 1 species